GAGUUUGAUCAUGGCUCAGGAUGAACGCUAGCUACAGGCUUAACACAUGCAAGUCGCGGGGCAGCAUGGGGAUUGCUUGCAAUCUCUGAUGGCGACCGGCGCACGGGUGAGUAACACGUAUCCAACCUGCCUAUUACCACGGUAUAACCCGAUGAAAGUCGGCCUAAUCCCGUAUGUAGUCUUCCAAUGGCAUCAGCAGUAGACGAAGGGUUUAGCGGUAAUGGAUGGGGAUGCGUCCGAUUAGCUAGUCGGUGAGGUAACGGCUCACCGAGGCUACGAUCGGUAGGGGUUCUGAGAGGAAGGUCCCCCACACUGGAACUGAGACACGGUCCAGACUCCUACGGGAGGCAGCAGUGAGGAAUAUUGGUCAAUGGGCGAGAGCCUGAACCAGCCAAGUAGCGUGCAGGAUGACGGCCUUAUGGGUUGUAAACUGCUUUUAUGCGAGGAUAAAGGUACCCACGUGUGGGUGUUUGCAGGUAUCGCAUGAAUAAGGACCGGCUAAUUCCGUGCCAGCAGCCGCGGUAAUACGGAAGGUUCUGGCGUUAUCCGGAUUUAUUGGGUUUAAAGGGAGCGUAGGCUGUUUUUUAAGCGUGUUGUGAAAUGUACCGGCUCAACCGGUGAUGUGCAGCGCGAACUGGAAGACUUGAGUGUGUUGUAAGUAGGCGGAAUUCGUGGUGUAGCGGUGAAAUGCUUAGAUAUCACGAGGAACUCCGAUUGCGUAGGCAGCUUACUGUCUCACUACUGACGCUGAUGCUCGAAAGCGCGGGUAUCGAACAGGAUUAGAUACCCUGGUAGUCCGCGCGGUAAACGAUGGAUGCUCGUUGUUGGUAUUUUAUAUAUCAGUGACUUAGCGAAAGCGUUAAGCAUCCCACCUGGGGAGUACGCCGGCAACGGUGAAACUCAAAGGAAUUGACGGGGGCCCGCACAAGCGGAGGAACAUGUGGUUUAAUUCGAUGAUACGCGAGGAACCUUACCCGGGCUUGAACUGCCGGCGAACGAUUCAGAGAUGAUGAGGCCUUUCGGGGCGCCGGUGGAGGUGCUGCAUGGUUGUCGUCAGCUCGUGCCGUGAGGUGUCGGCUUAAGUGCCAUAACGAGCGCAACCCCUUUUUAUAGUUGCCAUCGGGUAAUGCCGGGCACUCUGUAGAUACUGCCACCGUAAGGUGUGAGGAAGGUGGGGAUGACGUCAAAUCAGCACGGCCCUUACGUCCGGGGCUACACACGUGUUACAAUGGCGCAUACAGAGAGUUGGUUGUAUGUAAAUACGGUCUAAUCUUGAAAGUGCGUCUCAGUUCGGACUGGGGUCUGCAACCCGACCCCACGAAGCUGGAUUCGCUAGUAAUCGCGCAUCAGCCAUGGCGCGGUGAAUACGUUCCCGGGCCUUGUACACACCGCCCGUC
rnacentral:rRNA from 1 species